rnacentral:misc_RNA from 1 species
AUUGUCAGGUCGAAUUCCAUCCUCUAUAGGUAAUCUCACUCAGUUGUCAAGUCUGAACCUGUCAUAUAACAAACUGGAGGGAAGCAUUCCUUCAAGCAUUAGAAAUUGCCAAAUUUUAAAUAGUUUGGACAUUUCAACAAAUAGUUUCAGUGGAGAGUUACCUAGGGAAGUUUUAGGCCUUGCCUCCUUAUCAAAAGGACUGU